AUAUCGGCGAAGAGGGGAAAUAGUAGAUAAUCAAGGUCUACAGAGAGGAAAUCCUUGGCUGAAAGAUUUCUGACCCGCUGUUUAUCGAACCCGUCCCUGAGCUUCUAGACUGAAAUUAGUAGGUCUAGACGGUUAAUACCGUUAGAUAUUUAAGAGAGGGCUAUAUUUUUAGCCAAUUAGGGUGGUAACGCGGAUAACCUUCGUCCCUAGA
rnacentral:ncRNA from 1 species